CAUAAAUCUGAUCAGACUAAAUACUUUUUUGGAGAUACGAAGGAUGCAAUACUACUCUAUAGGUACUCGAGAUUAACAUGAGAUUGGCAGAAACUGUGUGUUAUGUCCCCUUUAACAGAAAACACUUUUCAAGAACUACAACAAAUGUCGUACAAUAAAACAUGACAGAAGUAUUUUGAGCUUGUGUUAACCACAAACCUUAUUUCAGGAAUCAACAACCCAUUCGAGUGCUGCACAAAUCAGUCAAAAAAGGCACUUCAGUCUUGAUAUUCAUUAGAUAUUUAAUUGCGGACAUUUAUUUUUUGUUUUACAUAACUCUUGCUAUUACCAGAUAUAACCUUUUUAGAGCACUGUUCCUUAAAGAGCGCUUUCCCAUAUAGGAAAUUCCUAUAGGACAUUCAUCUCACCUAUUCAACUCUUCAUCUCAACAUAAAUAGUUAUGCUAAUUUACAUCCUUGUAUUUAUUUUACAGGUGACAAUAGUGUUGUGGUGUUGGUUUUAUGUGGGUUCAUUUCUGUAAUGUUAUCUGUCAUCAUCCUCAUGCUGUUCCUCCGGCUCUGCAGGAAGAAAGAGAAGGAAUGUUUUAAGCAUUUUGUCAGGCAGUGCUCGUUGGGUGAUAUGGAGGUGGACAGUGAGACUACACCUCCUACCAGCCAACCAAAUGAGCAGCCCCAUGCCCAGGAGAUGCUGUCACAUGGCAGCACACCCACCAAUCACAACACAAACUGCUCAUUUCAUCAGCCAAUCAGCUCAGAGCAGGCUGUGCCUCCAGCUGGCAAUUUAGGCCCUCUUCACAUCUACGGUCCCCAGACAGUUUUUGUUAGUUUGCUCAAUCAAUUUGGAUGGAAUGGCGGCGAGAAAAAAGCACACGAACUCCAAGAAGAAUCACUAAACAACACCAACGUGUCCUACCCUCAGUCUCCCCCCGUCCAUCUGUCUGAGGAGGAAAGGAGCAGAGAGAACGAUUUUAUCUUCUUCCCAUCUCAGGAGCAAGGUAAAGAGUGCCACAUAUCUAAAGAAGAGGUGCUGUGAGGGAUGAUGGAAUACUUGUGUCCGUUCUUCUUCCGUGCUGUUCAGCUGCUGCGUGGUUUGUUUUAACUGAUGCUUCGUGAGUACCCAGUAUUAAAACUCUAACCCUGGCAGGGGAUUUCAUCUAGAGAGCAACAGGCUGCGUUAGGGGAAGACCUGGGUGUUUGACUAACAGUAUGGACGACAUAAGUGUUGCGUAUGAGCUUGACAGUUCAUGCCAGCUUGGCAGUAUUACCCAUAAUGUACGUUUACGCGGAAACACUGAUUCUAAACCAUCAGAACGGCAGCGGGAUGCUGAUGUUGACUGCAUGAAGAGUCGACACCAAAGGCUCAUGAUGGUUGACUGACCCUCAGGAACAGUGUUUGAAAGCAAAGAGCAGCUCUAAAACCCUCAGAAGACCAAAGAUUCACAUAUGUUGAGAUAUUUAUUUUAUGUAAAGUUUAUAUUCGUCACAAAACAUUUUUAUUUAUUUGUAACUCUUAUUAAUUAUAUUACAGUUGUUAAAAACAAAAACUUUUUUUGUUCUCAUGCAGUUUAUCAGUGUUCGAUCGUGUUAAGUCCCUGGUUAAUGUUGUCAGUGUUCUUCCUCUUUUCUUUGGUUUUUAUGCGACAGACAUGAUGGAUUAUGCCAUCAAAAAGCCCUGACAUUUUGAUGGUGGUCUGGAAAUGUCAACGUUGUUUCUUCAUUCAGAAGUCAAUAAGCAAUGGCUUCAUCAUAUAUUAUGUUUUAUAUUCACUGUAAUACACAUUUUUUAUGCUUGAUAUUAAGUGUAAAGUGCAAUAAAAUCAAUAAAGGUUUAUUUUUUUGGUAUGUUGCACUGAGUACCUAAUUAAUUUCACUGCAAGAUAGCAAAUACAAAUACAACUACAAUUCCGUUUUCUAUUUUAUGGUAGCUGACACAAAAUAUAAUCUUGUAACUGACAUGCUAUAUUCCCAUAACAUAUUUAAAAUGUUUUGUUCAUUCUGUUAUCAUUUUAUACAUACAGCUUCUAU
ensembl:lncRNA